AUAGAUGGAUAGGUGGAUGCUGCAGAUGAAUGGUAUACUUUUGUGCUACUGAUCAAUUUUAUUUGAAACAUACUCUGGAUUCUGGAGCCACCCCUGUGUGCACAUAGAGAAGACUGCCCACACUUUCCACUAUGUAAAGCCACUGCCCUGGGCACAGAAAUUUGUGAGUGAAGAGAUCAGGGAAGAGUCUCAUCCUACUUUAUUGAGGAUGAGGUGAGAGGGAAGCAGCUUCCCUGUGCCUUGCAAAAUCAAACCAGGACACCGGGGUGGUCAGGAGAGGCUUACUCUGUGGAACAAGCUGUCCUCCACUGUCCUGUCUGACUAAUGUCCAUGAAGGGCCCCUGAGGUUCCUCGGCAUCUGCCUGCCUCACACGCCUGCCUGGGUCUGACCCUGGGAGUUGCUGGUCUCUGUCCCAGUGCCCUUGGCCUCUUGCUGACCACCCUGGUGGUCAGCUGUGGUUUCCUCACCUGUUAGACGGGAGUAAUUGUAGCCACUCCACCCUGCUGGUGCAAGAGCAACUGGAAAACCACAGAAAGCCCUCAGCCAGCCCGGGCUGCCUCGGCCACGCACCAUGGCCCCGGCAGCCUGCAUGCCACGGGAGGCUGGGUGUCUGGGGGCAAAGCAUCCACAGACUCUCUCAGGGUGCCCUGGUCCUCAGUUUGCUGUGUCCUCCUUGGGCAAGGAUGUAGCUUGUUUCUCUGGGGCGUCUUCCCACCCCUGAGUGUCCUGUCUCCUGACCCAGGCACUGGGAUGAGGAUGCUGCCUUGGGACUGUGGGAGCCCUGGCUCAGGAGCAGGGGCUCAGUCAAGGCCAGUGGGAAGCAGAAGUGAAAGCCGGCAGGGAAGAGGGAGGGUCACAGCUGGAGAUCACACUGUCAAGCAGCCCAGACCAGGUUCCCCACCUGCCUCCCUCGGUCCACUGGGGCUCUGUCCUUGCAGACCGUAGUGCCCAGUUCUCGGUCUAGGAAGCCCUGUGCCCCUCCCUCCUGGGCACCUGUGCUGUUCCUGAGUCCACACCUUUUCAUUUCUGCCCCAUGGACCCUUCCAGGCCUCUUCCCUGCGCAUCCUGAAAUCCUCCUCCCAAGAAAGCAGUCACAGAACCUGCGGCCAGCAGGGUGGGUCAGGUCCCUGCCUCAGUUCUUGGCACCCCAGCACCCACCAUCCCAGCUGUGACUUCCACAUAGGAAGUCCCCUCCCAGCGCCACCUGGGCCGUGUUGAGACCGGACCUGAGUUCCACCCGGGCUGAGCUCCCAAGGCCGCGUCACUGGGGCCUGGCCUGACUCUGGGUCCAGAGUGGAUUCAUCUGGAUUCAUCAGCCUGCUGAUCACCAGGUUCUCUCCACCCAUGAUACACAUCCAUCUCCAGCUCCUGGUCCCAGCAGAUGUUUCCAUGGUAACAGCCAGAGCUGGCCUGAGUUGCUAAGCAACUAAAGAGAAGGAACAGGAUGGAGCGGGAUGGAGAGGCCAAGCCUGGAGCUGGGGGCGCCCCACCUGCAUUUCCCGGCUUUGUCCUGUGACGUGGUCUUUGCAGAAGGCAAAGUCCCGACCUCCACAGUCACAUCAGCAGUGGCCAGGACAGAUGCAGGCCCCUUUUGAGAUCACCCACGCUUCUGGCCACAUCGCCCACGCCUGCACAGCAGGAAAAUGUGGUGCCUUUCCUCCAGCAGCCAGUGUGUGCCUCACUCGGCCUCUGGAGCUGGCUGGAAGGGUCUGUGUCUCGUCUACAAGUGUCCUGGUCAAUUCUGCAUCAACUGACUUUUUAACAUGGGUGUUUUUUUUUCCUUUUUUGAGUAGCAGGUACUGAACUCAGGAUUCCCACUUGCCAGGCAGGUGUUGGGCUGCUGAGCUGUGUCGUGGGCCCCAGUUGGUUUUUAAAACUACACCCCUGGGUGGCCAAGUAUUGUGGGGCUUCGUGGUCUGUGCACUUCUCACGGAGCGGCUGCUCUCUCACACCCUGCCUGGAUGCUGGGCCGCAUGCCCUGCAGGAUGGGCUGGCACAGGGGCUGAGGGACACUGCUGAGGGUGUCACGUGGUCACAGGUUCCUUGGGUACCUCAGCUGUGGGACACUGGAGUGAGAACACACAGGACCUCUAUGCAGGUGGAAACAGCAAUCACAGCUGCUAGGGGCCACUGCUGUCCCCGAGGGCAGGCGAAGACACAGAGGGUCGGAGUCAGACUCACAGGAGCCCGGCUCGGACACAGUCUGCAAGAACUGGGCUGCAGCUCAGUGCAGAGGGCCUGGGUUCAGCCUCAGUACCCAGAGAAGGGCAGUUCAGUACUCAGAGCUCCUGCGAUGCCUGCUGACCCACAGACAACCAGAGGCCAAUUCUGAUUCAGAUUCUGGUGACUCAAACCUGUUUACAAGCCAGCACUCCGAGGGGGAGGGUAGUUACUUUCUCCCAAAUAAAAUAACCAUAACCAGAGGCCUUGGCCUAGGGGCCGCUCCACAGGGACCCACAGAGCCAACGGGUCCACAGAGUCCUGACCUGGUGGCCUGGCUGUCCUCCUCCUGUUCCCAUGGUAACUGCCUAACCUCCAAGUGUGAAGCCUCUACCCCCCCCCCCCCGAGGAACCUCGGCCCCAGCAGCUCUUGUAAUGGUGAUUUUUCAGUUUCUUCACAUUGUUUUGUAUAUGUAUGGGUUUUAACUUUUAUUUCUAUUUUUAUUAGCCCACAUCUGCAGUGCAUAGAUUGCAUUCUUCGUGUGGCACUGAUGCAUCUUAAUUCUCUUUUCAUCCUCUUUCCUCAUCUGUCUGUCCUCUCGGUCCGCGUCCCCUUUGAGAAAGAGCCGUCUCCCUAUUUCCCGAUAUGUCUUUACUUGCACUUUGGAUUUCUCGUAUAAAAGAAGUCAU